rnacentral:rRNA from 1 species
UCGAGCGGAACGAGUUAUCUGAACCUUCGGGGAACGAUAACGGCGUCGAGCGGCGGACGGGUGAGUAAUGCCUAGGAAAUUGCCUUGAUGUGGGGGAUAACCAUUGGAAACGAUGGCUAAUACCGCAUAAUGCCUACGGGCCAAAGAGGGGGACCUUCGGGCCUCUCGCGUCAAGAUAUGCCUAGGUGGGAUUAGCUAGUUGGUGAGGUAAUGGCUCACCAAGGCGACGAUCCCUAGCUGGUCUGAGAGGAUGAUCAGCCACACUGGAACUGAGACACGGUCCAGACUCCUACGGGAGGCAGCAGUGGGGAAUAUUGCACAAUGGGCGCAAGCCUGAUGCAGCCAUGCCGCGUGUAUGAAGAAGGCCUUCGGGUUGUAAAGUACUUUCAGCAGUGAGGAAGGGGGUGUCGUUAAUAGCGGCAUCUCUUGACGUUAGCUGCAGAAGAAGCACCGGCUAACUCCGUGCCAGCAGCCGCGGUAAUACGGAGGGUGCGAGCGUUAAUCGGAAUUACUGGGCGUAAAGCGCAUGCAGGUGGUUUGUUAAGUCAGAUGUGAAAGCCCGGGGCUCAACCUCGGAACUGCAUUUGAAACUGGCAAACUAGAGUACUGUAGAGGGGGGUAGAAUUUCAGGUGUAGCGGUGAAAUGCGUAGAGAUCUGAAGGAAUACCAGUGGCGAAGGCGGCCCCCUGGACAGAU